rnacentral:lncRNA from 1 species
UUGUACGCAGUGCCGAGAAUCGCCAAGUUUUUUUAUUUCAGCUGGAUCCCUUACCCGGACGACUUUACCUGAUAAUGGCGCCACAGAUUUCGGCCAUCCUCUCCUUCACAGGAGCAGAGCGGAUACGGGUCGUCAACACCGGAAAAUACCCAGAUCUCUCUUCUUGGCCGGAACCCGGGAAGUGGCAUCGCCUUUUCUGGUUUCGGAUGCAGCCGGUAGCUCUUCUCACAUUUGACCCUGGCAGGUGGAUUUGGCCUGGGGUGGCAGAUGUUCCUGAUGAGGAGUUUUUCGCCUACUCGGUCUGGGGAGCCCGGUUACGACAAGCACCGCUUGCUCCUACGGGACUUCAGGCUGCAGCGAAGAAGGCAGGAGUUCACGAGACUUUCACUGGAUCACUACCACGCUGUGGGAAGGUCCACUACCA